AGGAGGUUUCUCUCGAAUUCUGGAUUGAAUCUUAGAUCACUCUCCCUUCCUUAAUUUCAACUAGUGUCAAGGUUGAUCCUUGAUUGUUCAGGUGUUUUGUAAUUUCUGGAAGGGGGUUUGGCCGGCCCCAUUGUUUAGUUUAGGUUCAAUUGUGGGAAGCUUGAGACGCCUCUCCAUGAGUGGCACUGGUGCACCAGGCCUUUACGGAUAAAACAUUCAUUCUGCUUGUUCCUCUAACUUCAGGAAGAGCUGAAUGCAACAGCUAGUGCUUGAAAUCCAGAAUUCUCCUAUUGUGAGACAAAAUUGCUUAAAGGAGAAAGGAGAAAAUUUGGAUCAGCAUUGCCUACAUCUCCAACAUUCAACAACAUGACCUCAUUGGAAAUAUGAAUUUAUAUUGAAUUGUGUUAUUCCUACAGUAGAAGUUGAGAGAUAGACCAUUCUUUCCUGUAGCUAGGCGGGAGAAAAAUGAUGCAGUGGCAGACUAAGUUCCUAACAAAAGUAUGACGGUAUAUUAUUGACUCAAUCAUAGUUGAUGGUUUUCCUUUUUGUUUGUUGAGUAGAAUUCGUAGGUUUCUUUGUUGUGUAAGUCAUAUUUUCAUGCCAUUGUAUUUGUACCACCAGCUCAAGUGUUUCUUAAUUAGAAUUUCAAUGAGCACUUUUAUAGUUCAUUGUUUGUGUAUAUGUGAGUGUUGACAAGCAUUUCACAUUGGGGGCAAUGAUCACAUUUGCAAUGCUUGGGUUAGCCAUAUUCUAUUAAGUUGGGCUAACCCUUUUUUCCUUUUUUUUGGGUACUUCCUGAAUAUAAGGUGGUAGGUGGUAGAAGCUUGAUGGAUUUGCCAUGCAAUGACUUUUCUGCUAGUUGAUGGCAUAAAAAUGAAAGGAAUUUUGACGCUUAUGGCUCUCCAAGAAGAACUCAACUUAAGGACGUCAAUGUUGUGCUUUUACAUUUGUAGUGGCUCAAGAAAAAUCAACCGUCUUUGGUUUCGGUGCUUAGUGUAGAAUGUAAGAAAUGUGAAGUUUGUUUUCUCCUUAAACAUUAGUAGCAGAUGUUUUUGUAGGAUUUGGUUUUCUAGUAUGGUGAUUUGAACAUUUUUAUUUCCUUAAAAGUUGUAAUACCUCAAGUUUUUUUUCCUUUCUUUUUAAAAAGAAAUUUGUGAGAAUAUUGUAAUUUCCUUUUUACCAUAGUGGAUUAUUUCUA